UUUCUGGAGACCCUCAAUAGGGGGAGGACUGAGAGCUGGUGGUCAGGCUCCUCACCUAACUUCCCUUCCCUUCCCAGAGCCACCCUUUCAGCUCACCAUCCCCAUGAUGGGAAUUGUUACUGGCCUGGUCCUCCUUGUAGCUGUGGUUGCUUUUGUCUUAUGGAAGAAGAAAAACACAGGUAGGAAAAGUGCAGGGCUGAAUUUUUUGUCCUACUUGUGGUUUCGAGUACCUGGUAGAAAGUGUGCCUACCUUGUUAAUUGGAAGUGAUAUCUACACAUGUACUUACCCAGCCUAGAUCCUUUUAUAUUUUUAAAGUUCUUAGAAAAUAAAAGAUAGUUUUAUCUCCCUGGUUUUUGUGGUGAUGGGGACCUGAUUCCCAGCAUUUAGAGGCCAGGGGAACUUCCCUGCUGAGCGCAGACCUCUAAGAGAGCAGUUGGCUCCAUCUAUCACUUCUCCUUUCUUCUGAUGUUCCUUCCCUACAUCUGCAGUCACAGUUCUGGACACAUACCCAGUGACCAGGACUACGGGGCACCUCUCAGACCUGUUUCCCACUUGUUUUCUCACUUGAUAAAUUUCCUUUCCACAGAAGUAAAAAAAGGCACCUAUGCUUCAGCUGCCUUAAGUAUGAUGAACAGUGAUCCUUGAGACCUUUGGGGUAGUGUAGAGGGGAGCCAUAGCAGAGCUGAUCCAUCCCAUAAUUCCACUAGCUACAUCUCCUCUGGACUCUGACUAGGUUUUGUUUUUAUUUUGCUCAGGCAAUGACAGUGUACAGGGCUCUAAUGUGUCCCUCACCACUUAAAACUGAGACUUUGGAGGGCCUGAAGAGACAGAGGAGUUGGCACAUGAGUGUAUAGGGUGUAUAUGGACUCUCUGGAUUUUUGACAUUCUGAGUGUUUAAUGAGUUAUUCAGUAUGUUUCCACUUACAGUGACUGAUAUGAACUUGUUCGUAUUACUUUCUUUUACAGUGUAAGAGAGCUGCCUCUGUGCAACUGAGCGAUACAGAAUUUGUUCCGUUUUCUUGCUGCUCCCUACAGUGACUUCAAGAGGUCCUGACUUCUCCUUUAGCAACUGGCACCUAACUAUACCUAAAGUCUGUAUUCCUAUCAUAAUAGUGUGAGAAAAUGGGGAAACCAGCCCAUUCCUGUGCAUCAAGACCCCUACCCACACUGUCCUGUUCUCUUCCUCUGUCAACUUUCCUAUGUAGCAGAUAUGGGGCUGGGAUGUCUCCAUUCCUUAUUUAGCUUUAUGUUGCCCUGAGUGGCUGCUACCUUUGCUAUUGAAAAACAGAAUAUGGAUAUUGGUUUGUAUUUCAAAUUUGUGUCAUGAAAUAUAGUUGAUGGGUUAAUUAAAAGAAAGGAGUAGAGUUGGGGUUGUAGCUCAGUGGUAGAGCUCUUGCCUACCAUGUAUGAGGCACUGGGUGUGAUUGAUUUUCAGCACCACAUAAAAAUUAAUUAAUUAAAUUAAAUUUAAAAUGGAAAGGAAUAUUCCUAAAAUUUCAGAGAGAAAAUAAAACUAAAACCUCCAGCAUUCAUCUGUUUGCUGUGCUGAGUCUGCUACAGGUGGGGACAGGAGAAGAUUGAAAGGAGCUACGAGUAGACAAGGUGGCACCCAGUCUGUGCUCAGUCCAUCCUGGGCUUUGAUGUGGUCACUCCUCAGCUGCAUCAUCUUCCCUGCUUCUUAGUCCUGUCCCUUCAGUCAAUAGCUAAUGAUCCCACCAGGACCUGUGAUGGCAGUAACUCAGGUGUCACCAGGGCUGAUCCUGUCUCCAGGACUAUGGACAGGGAGGGCAUCACGUGGGUUAGCAUUGGCUGAGACCUGAGUCUGGCCUUCUGCCUCUACCUUUUUUCAUUUCUCAAUUUCUAUAGAGAAUUAUCCCUGUUUUUGUUAGUAAGUAUGAGUUCUGGUCUCAUUCUCCUCUGGGUGUAUCUCACCUUUGACAGCAGCAGAAAUCCUUUUUUCUAUCAUUGUCUCACAAAAACCAGUGCAAUUUCCUGGAUUGUAUUUUCCAUCAUUCCUCCAGUAUUUUUAAAGGGAUCAGAUUAUGGGAAGAGAGGAAAGCUCUCACGACUCUCAUCUUCUAUAAAUUCCUCUUAGGGUUCCAUCUUCGCUACUCAGCAGUUUUACUGCUCUGAGCUCUACUAAUCCUAGCACUUGCUCCAUUACAAUUCCUAGAUGGAUAGAGUUUGAUAGAGAUUUCUGUUUAGUUGGAAAAUAUGACUCAUUAGUCAAGGAUCAUAUUUCCUGAAGAAAAGAAUGUACUUGAGUGCUGUGGAGUGCAGGGGGGCUGGUGUGGAGAGAAGGAGGGCAGCACUUGUGAGAAAGGCCCAAAUGCCUGAGACGUCAGUGUGAGAAGCCCUUGUGCUGCAGAUGCCACAGCAGCAUUUGGUAUGAAACUCCAUUAAUAAAGAAAGUAUCUCUAGAAUGGGAAGGGCUGACACUGAUCAUUCAUUCAGCUCUCAUUUGUUGGAUAAUGACACAUAUUUUGUAUCCAGGAUACAUUGGGGAACUGAAAACAAGCCAAAAGUGCCAACCUUGUGAAGCCUGUGUCUAUAGGAAAGAGGAAGAGGAUACACUCAUGUUAGAGUCUGUAAAUAAGUCAAAAUAACACCUGGCAUUUAGCCAGGGGAAUGUUAGAGUUCGUAAACAAGUCUGGAUGGUGCCUGGCAAAAUGCCAGAGGGAGUGGUUUGAGAAGUAACAAAAGCAAGCCAUUAAGUGUGGAGAUUCCUGAUUGGUUGACUGAUGUAUCUAGUUUAUGUUAAUUAGAUAAGCUGUGUGGAAUGUAUAAAUACUGCUCCUGUCCUGCAAUAAACGGCUCCUACUCCUGCUGUAUCAACGUACACAAGUUAUUCGUCACCCCACCCCCGGUUAUUUUGCUGCAGCCGUACUGCGGCACACUCAAAGCACAGUAAAUAAGGACGAUGUUCAUGUUAGGUGGUAAAUGCUGCAGGGCAGGUGUCAGAGUGGGUGUGUGUGGAAAGGGAAGAUGGCUUUUUUACUAUGGUGCUCAGCAUGGGGCUUACUAGCUAGGUGAUCUUUGAGGAAAGUUUUGAAGGCAUGAAAACUUUUGUUAUGUGGAUGUUUUGGAGGAAGAUCUUACUAGGAAGGAG
rnacentral:lncRNA from 1 species